CAAUAAGCAUGUUUCCACCCUUUCAAGUCCAGAUAGUUUCACCAAAAAUAAAACAAAAAGCGUGAAUAGGAGGAUGGAGGGAAGGGACCAGUUAGACAGGGAAAGGAAAAGUCUCUCAGCCUGGAAAAGAGGGCACUGUGAGGGAGCUGUGUGCCAGUUUCUGCAUAUAGAAAACUGGGGCCUUGGAGGAUGCAGCAUUUUCUAAGAGCUAGUGAGACUGGAAAAUCUUCCAGCCCAACCCUGUCAGAUGCCACCAAAACUUCUGUCCUCUGUGAUCUCAGAACUGGGAGCCACGCUAGUGAGACAUGCAUCCUGAUAGGAUCUGCAGCUUAUCAUGUGGCAUUCUUGCAAGCUUCCACUAUUGCUCUUAUUAGCUGGGAAGAUUUGAUUCUGACUCCUCAUGCCGGCUCUAAGAGCUCAGAGACCAGACUGAUACAAUGGGCAGAAAUGUGUUCUCAGCGAUCUAACUGCCUGGUGCGGGUUUUUCUUUCCUCCCACAUCUUAAAAUAAAAUGAAGGAAAACUAAAGAGGCGUGGUCCUGCCAAUCCCGCUAGCAUUGUGGGCUGCAGCAGAGGGCUCGGGGUCAGCCAUGCCAUCCAGUGACAUCUGUGUCCUCUGUCACAGGGAAACAAGCUCUACUUCUCAAAAGUAAAGAACUAGGCAUGGGAAGGAUGGAUGUGGACAGGGGGUAAAUAUACGUCUUCCAAUAACCACAAAACUGUUUUAAAGUUAAAUCUGAAGUGGAUUGGAAGCUUCCCAUAGUGGGCAAAGAGCUACGAAACCUCUUCUCUCUGCAUUAGAAUUUGUCUUCUGGCUAACUCUCCAAAUCUGUUCCCAUGAAGAGGAAAGGAGUGUGCGGAUCGUGUCCCUGAGCAACACUGCUCACACUGCUCAGGGUGACAAAGGCCGUGCCUGGCUGGAAAGCAGCUGAAGUGUCUGAGGACACCACUCCAUCAAAGUCCUCAGGGCUGAUGUUUUCUCCCUGGAAACAAGAAGCUCUGUACUGCCUUGUGAACAAGCCUUCCCUCAUCGGUCAGGUGAGCAAAUAGGCAUCUCUGACCACCGGGUAAACUGAGGCAUGGGCCUUGCAGGCUCCUGCAUUAGUGGACUAAAAGACAAUGGCCUCUAGUAGGCUGACUCCGGGCUUCUAGUCCUGAGCGAACUGUUCCAAGGCAGCCUGGGAUGACUCACAAUGCCUGAGGGUAGUCGAGGCAGCUGAAUGUUUAAUUUUUAACAUUUCUUUUGGUUGGGGGGCUUCAAAAGGCCAGGACAAACAAUUCCUUUCUUGUCCUUCUCUUUCAUCUUUUAAUUGUUUUUAAAAAUAAAGGCUCACUACGUAAA